UGAGGUAGUAGGUUGUGUGGUUUCAGGGUAGUCAUUUUGCCCCAAUCAGGAGAUAACUAUACAACCUACUGCCUUCC
rnacentral:pre_miRNA from 1 species